rnacentral:rRNA from 1 species
AGUGAAUAGAUACCCCGGUAGUCCACGCCGUAAACUAUGGAUGCUAGCUGUUACCAGUAUCGACCCUGGUAGUAGCGAAAGCUAACGCGUUAAGCAUCCCGCCUGUGGAGUACGGUCGCAAGACUAAAACAUAAAGGAAUUGACGGGGACCCGCACAAGCGGUGGAGCGUGUUGUUUAAUUCGAUGAUAAGCGAAGAACCUUACCCAGGCUUGACAUCCUGUGAAGACUCCCGAAAGGGAAUUGUGCCGCAAGGAACGCAGUGACAGGUGCUGCAUGGCCGUCGUCAGCUCGUGUCGUGAGAUGUUGGGUUAAGUCCCGCAACGAGCGCAACCCUUUUGAUUAGUUGAAUUUUUCUAGUCAGACUGCCCUGGUAACAGGGAGGAAGGAGGGGAUGAUGUCAGGUCAGUAUUGCCCUUACGUCUGGGGCUACAAACACGCUACAAUGGCCGGUACAAAGGGCAGCCAACCCGCGAGGGGAGCAAAUCCCAUCAAAGCCGGUCUCAGUUCGGAUAGUGGGCUGAAACUCGCCUGCUUGAAGCU